rnacentral:rRNA from 1 species
GUGGGGAAUCUUCCGCAAUGGACGAAAGUCUGACGGAGCAACGCCGCGUGAGUGAAGAAGGUUUUCGGAUCGUAAAGCUCUUUCGUUAGGGACGAACGUGCUCUUUGUGAAUAAUGAGGAGUAAUGACGGUACCUAAAUAAGAAGCCACGGCUAACUACGUGCCAGCAGCCGCGGUAAUACGUAGGUGGCAAGCGUUGUCCGGAAUUAUUGGGCGUAAAGCGCGCGCAGGCGGGAUAUCAAGUCUGUCUUAAAAGUGCGAGGCUCAACCUCGUGAGGGGACAGAAACUGGUAUUCUUGAGUGUCGAAGAGGAAAGUGGAAUUCCAAGUGUAGCGGUGAAAUGCGUAGAGAUUUGGAAGAACACCAGUGGCGAAGGCGACUUUCUGGACGAUGUCUGACGCUGAGGCGCGAAAGCUAGGGGAGCGAACGGGAUUAGAUACCCCUGUAGUCC